CAUGCAAGUCGAGCGGAAAGGCCCUUUCGGGGGUACUCGAGCGGCGAACGGGUGAGUAACACGUGAGUAAUCUGCCCUGCGCUCUGGGAUAGCCACCGGAAACGGUGAUUAAUACCGGAUAGGACCACUUCACGCAUGUGAUGGUGGUGGAAAGUUUUUUCGGCGCAGGAUGUGCUCGCGGCCUAUCAGCUUGUUGGUGAGGUAACGGCUCACCAAGGCUUUGACGGGUAACCGGCCUGAGAGGGUGACCGGUCACACUGGGACUGAGACACGGCCCAGACUCCUACGGGAGGCAGCAGUGGGGAAUAUUGGACAAUGGGCGGAAGCCUGAUCCAGCAACGCCGCGUGAGGGAUGACGGCCUUCGGGUUGUAAACCUCUUUCAGUACCGACGAAGCGAAAGUGACGGUAGGUACAGAAGAAGGACCGGCCAACUACGUGCCAGCAGCCGCGGUAAUACGUAGGGUCCGAGCGUUGUCCGGAAUUAUUGGGCGUAAAGGGCUCGUAGGCGGUUUGUCGCGUCGGGAGUGAAAACACCGGGCUUAACUCGGUGCUUGCUUUCGAUACGGGCAGACUAGAGGUAUGCAGGGGAGAAUGGAAUUCCUGGUGUAGCGGUGAAACGCGCAGAUAUCAGGAGGAACACCGGUGGCGAAGGCGGUUCUCUGGGCAUUACCUGACGCUGAGGAGCGAAAGUGUGGGGAGCGAACAGG
rnacentral:rRNA from 1 species